AGCCCGGGCUCCGUCCGUCGGGGGAGGCCCGCAGGGGCCCCGACCCGCCCCGGUCCCGGCUGCCUCGGGGGAGCGCCGGCCGGGCGGGUCGGGACGGGCUGAGCGCUUUAUUCCUUCCGCCGCGGGGCGAGGCGUGCGGCGGGGAGCCGGGCUGCUGCAGGUGGCCGCGGUGCGGGCAGCGGAGCGGUGUCCGGUGCGAGCUUGUGCAUGGCAGAAGGGGUGAAUUCACUUCUCAGUGUGCAAGCCAAAGGUCUCUUCCAGAACUGCUGCGAAGGAUUUGGAAGAUGUUUCACUCAAACACAGAAUUUAUAUAUAGGCACAGCGCUUUCAUUAAACAUGACCAGCUAAGGGGACAGCAUCACUCGCUGACAGUAAUGUAUGCACGUCUUGAAGGCACAUUAUAGAGGAACAGGCUGCCUUGGAGAAAUUAAUACAGCAAAGGUGUUGAUUAUUGAUGCGUUUGUUACUGAGCCGACUCCGCCUUAGUCUCCUGAGCCAGUGUGACUUCCAGAUCUAUUUCUAGAUCACCAAAUGCUCACAGUGUGACUGGCACUUUUGCAUUUACUGCAGCUGAUGCCUCAAUGUAAUAUUUGAUGCAUACUUUAGAUCAUUACCUUGCAUACCAAAACUGCCACUGAAUGAGUCUUCAAAGAGAAUCCUGGCAAAGUAGAAACGAAGAUCCUUGUACUGGUACAUCCUCCUCCAUCAUCACCAAAGGUAACUGAGCUGCAAAGAUACAGAGCACUAGGAGAGACAUCUUCCUAUAGCAAUGGGUACAGUGUUUUGAUGCAACAACUUCUGAAUGAACCUGUGGAAGCGUGUGUUUUGUUAAAAGCACCACCAAAGAAGGAAAUUAAUUGCUUAGGGGGCUUUCUUGCUAGUGAAGUAAGCUGCAACUGUUACUAAUGGAAUGCCACUGUAAAGGGAAGAUAGGAGCUAUCAUGAAUAUUUGACAUUGUCCUGUCCAGAAGAAAAGACUCCAUAUUGUCUGUGAUAUUUAAAAUAAGGCUGAAUAAAAUGUGCUGAUUUACCUUA